ensembl:lncRNA
GCUUUAAGGCGUUAACCCUAGUAGUGGCUGGUUGGCAAAGACCGUGAUGCUGGGAGAGAUUGACGGCGGGAGGAGAAGGGCACGACACAGGAUGAGAUGGUGGGAUGGCGUCACCGACUCAAUGGACAUGAGCAAGCUCUGGGAGAUGGUGAAGGACAGGGAGGCCUGGCGUGCUGCAGUCCAUGGGGUCGCAAAGAAUCGGACAAGACUGAGCGACUGAACUGAACUGGUAUUGGCGAGUUCAGGUCCUUCUGCACCUUCUAAAUACUUAAGUAUGGUGAUGCCUACAGAAAGUACUUGCGCGCCCCUUGAGUGUUCACAUCUUGAGCGCGCCCUGCAGCGGCGCCCCAGGGAGGAGCCGAGCUCCCGGUCCACGGGAUUAGCGGGGCGCUGGAGGGGUCGCGUCUCUCCACAGCCGCGCAAGCCGGGGAUCGGCGGCGGCGGCCGCGUCCACAGCCCCCGGCCGCCCUAGGCGGUUCUCCGCGUGGCAUCCCCAUUAAUUUCGGGACACCCCUGUGAGGGGCCCUGGCCUUCCAGCUUGUAAGAGAGAGGAACCUUGAGCUCCGAAAGAUUCAGAACCUGGACUCUGGGAGCUGCGCCCACCGGCUACCCCGCAGGACCUGCGGCGGAGUCGGCGGGGCCUUCCCGCCCCUGGGUCAAGAGAGUUGUCUCCUGAGCCCCCAGCGCGGAGAUGCGAACUGUCGCUGCGUGCGGGCUACUCUGGGGUCUGCGGGGUGAUGGCCCAGACAGCAUAUCUCCGGGCUGUCCCCUCAGCCUGAAGACGCAAGCAUGACCGGGCGCCGUCUCCACUCACCUAGGGCCCCUCCACCAGGCUCUCCUGCUCCCCA